GACGAACGCUGGCGGCGUGCUUAACACAUGCAAGUCGAACGGAAAGGCCCUGCUUUUGUGGGGUGCUCGAGUGGCGAACGGGUGAGUAACACGUGAGUAACCUGCCCUUGACUUUGGGAUAACUUCAGGAAACUGGGGCUAAUACCGGAUAGGAGCUCCUGCUGCAUGGUGGGGGUUGGAAAGUUUCGGCGGUUGGGGAUGGACUCGCGGCUUAUAAGCUUGUUGGUGGGGUAGUGGCUUACCAAGGCUUUGACGGGUAGCCGGCCUGAGAGGGUGACCGGCCACAUUGGGACUGAGGUACGGCCCAGACUCCUACGGGAGGCAGCAGUGGGGAAUAUUGCACAAUGGGCGGAAGCCUGAUGCAGCAACGCCGCGUGCGGGAUGACGGCCUUCGGGUUGUAAACCGCUUUCGCCUGUGACGAAGCGUGAGUGACGGUAAUGGGUAAAGAAGCACCGGCUAACUACGUG
rnacentral:rRNA from 1 species